UACGAAGAGGGCGAGCGUUGUUCGGAUUUACUGGGCGUAAAGGGCGCGUAGGCGGCCCUCCUUGUCGCGUGUGAAAGCCCCGGGCUCAACCUGGGAAUUGCGCGCGAAACGGGGGGGCUUGAGUUCGGGAGAGGAGGCGUGGAAUUCCCAGUGUAGAGGUGGAAAUUCGUAGAUAUUGGGAAGAACACCGAUGGCGAAGGCGGCGCUCUGGACCGAGACUGACGCUGAAGCGCGAAAGCGUGGGGAGCAAACAGG
rnacentral:rRNA from 1 species